rnacentral:rRNA from 1 species
UAACGGCCCACCAAGCCUUCGAUGGAUAGGGGUUCUGAGAGGAAGGUCCCCCACAUUGGAACUGAGACACGGUCCAAACUCCUACGGGAGGCAGCAUG